rnacentral:rRNA from 1 species
AUGAGUUGCUUGAGCUGGAACUGCCGGGGGCUUGGGAACCCUGAGGCAGUUCGAUAGCUUCGCAGCAUUGUGAAUCUAGAAGGACCCACUCUUCUCUUUGUUAUGGAAACUAAAAUCAAUGCAAAAAGAGUUGAGGAUCUGAAAUACGCUCUUGGUUUUGGAGGUUGUUUUGUUGUAGACAGUGCUGGCCUUAGUGGUGGUGUUGGGGAUAUAACUACUGGGUAUGAAUCGCCCAGGAGGGGCCGGGUCAUAUCACUGGUGAGUCAUCAAUGA